rnacentral:rRNA from 1 species
UGGAGGAGACUCUGAUCCAGCCAUGCCGCGUGUAGGAAGAAUGCCCUAUGGGUUGUAAACUACUUUUAUACAGGAAGAAACACUGGUAUGUAUACCAGCUUGACGGUACUGUAAGAAUAAGGACCGGCUAACUCCGUGCCAGCAGCCGCGGUAAUACGGAGGGUCCAAGCGUUAUCCGGAAUCAUUGGGUUUAAAGGGUCCGCAGGCGGUCAAUUAAGUCAGAGGUGAAAUCCCAUAGCUUAACUAUGGAACUGCCUUUGAUACUGGUUGACUUGAGUCAUAUGGAAGUAGAUAGAAUGUGUAGUGUAGCGGUGAAAUGCAUAGAUAUUACACAGAAUACCGAUUGCGAAGGCAGUCUACUACGUAUGUACUGACGCUCAUGGACGAAAGCGUGGGGAGCGAACAGGAUUAGAUACCCUGGUAGUCCACGCCGUAAACGAUGGAUACUAGUUGUUGGGAUUUAUCUCAGUGACUAAGCGAAAGUGAUAAGAUCCCAC